rnacentral:tRNA from 1 species
GGGGAUGUAGCUUAGAGGUACAGCAGUUGCCUAGCAUGCAUGAAGCCCUGGGUUCAAUUCUCAGUACCACCA